GCUAAAUGAUGAGACUUCAGAGGAUCCAAAAAUGUUCUCAAAUUUCAGUGUCAGGAAUCCUUGGAUUGAUUCCUCUUGGGGGCCAAGUUGCCUAGGAGUCCCACAAGUGGAAAUGCUAUUAAUCACGAUCAUUUACCUUCCAGAGA